rnacentral:tRNA from 1 species
UUAAUUGAAACCAAAAUAGAGGUAUGUCACUGUUAAUGAUAAAAAUGGAAAAAUAAACCCAAUUAAA